rnacentral:lncRNA from 1 species
UUUCUUUUCUAAUUACUUAAUGAUGUAAUGUGGAAAAAAUGAACGAAGGGAAUUACAAUAAUCAUGAUGAUAAAGUAACCAAACAACUUUUAGGCCUUCAAAACUUCACAUAAAUUUCAACUCACUCAUGUGAAUGUCCACAUUUCUUACUCAAGUUAUUUCACCCUCCUCCUUUCUUUUCUUCUAUUACUUCUUUUUAUGUGUUUUCUUUCGCCCUCUUGCUUUUCCCUUUAAGGAAGAAAAUCAUCCAAAAUUCCAAUCCGAGGAAACAAAAAAUUCCUAAAGUUUAAGAUGGUGAAAUGAACAACCGAUUCCAUCAAAUAAAUAAAUAAAUAUAGAAAAACAUGUACAAAUACAAUAAGAUCCGUCAUUAAUUAAUUCCUACCCCAAAUUGAAAAAUAAAAAUUUAAUAAUUACUUAUAAGUUAUAUAACCAAUCAAAUAGAAAAAAGGAGAGAGAGAACGGUCACGGGCCAGCAGGAGCCAGACUGAGAUGUAAGUCCAGGCCCAGUGACUCAUCGAAGCUAGGCCCACCUUCCCCUUUCGAGAAUCUGCUAAGCGAGGUCGGCCCAUCCGAACUGUACUGGUGCGCUCCUCCACCUUGACGGGGGGACCCACCAGACGAAAGCUCACCUACGGCGCCACCAUACAUUAAGCCCCCUGCGCCUCUCCCGCCACCACCACCACCACUAAAGACAGCACCGUGGGAGACGCCGAACGGCGUCGCGCAGGAGCGCGGCAACUGCUGGGAAACAGCUGGAUUCUAGGGAGUCGGCGGCGUUCGGGGAUGUGAGCUGUUCGUGGUUGUAGUAGUAGUUGUUGGUGUCGUCGGUGUAAGUAAUAUUAUUGUUAUUAUUAUAAUUGUCUUCAUUGACGCUGAAGCCAAAGAGCUUUAGUCUGGGAGAGGGGGAGGAAGAGGAUGACGUGUUGGGUUGUGAUUGGUGGGGGGGGGGCUCACGCUGGUGGUGGUCCAGCUCCGCCUCGUCCAUGUAUCCACCGGAGGACAAACAAAAACAACCUAGUUUGCUGUCGGAAGGUGAGAGAGUUUGGAGAGACAGAAAGAGAUGAUAUGAGAAUUAACGGGCAGUGGAACAAAUUGGGUUGCAUGAGUGGUGUGUGUAUAUAAAUAACAAAUGGAAUUUCCCAAAAGAAAAAGAAAAAGGAAAAUAGGUUAAAACCUAAUAUGGAGACUGAUCAAGUGGUUUUGUUUUGUUGUAGACUUUAGACUAGUGAGUAGUAGAUAAGCAGAAAGUGGAAAAGGGGUUUGCGGACAUCCCAAGGGAAGUGAGUGAGAGCCCACCAGUGUGAUGCAAUUUAAACUACUUAAAUACCCAUAUAAACUUGUGAUAUAUACGAUCUAUUCGUUUACGAGGUUUGUCUCUUCUACUUGGACUUACAUCUUUCCUUUAAACAAAACAAAAAUGAUUAAUUAAUUAGACAGAUGUCCAAAGCCAAGAAUUUGUAAGAAUGUGAUUGUGAGUUUAAACAAUUUUCAUAUAUAUAUAUUCAAUACAUUAUACAUGUUAGUUACGAAAUCAAUUAAUGUAGCUAUGUAAUGAUUAAUUAUAUGGCUACUGACAGCGUUCUAGACUUUUCAUUGGUUGCCUUUCAUGCAUAUACUUGCGUGCAUAGUUGCUGGAACAAUAGCAUAUCUUCAAACUAGUUCAUUGAAUUUUAUAAUUAACUAGGUUUUGCACGAAAGUGACUUAUACAUACGACUUAAUUAAAUAUUUCAAUCAUAACAAAAAAAAAUAUACUUUCCAAGUAAUGGACAUGCAUGGAUUCAAAAUUGUUGGGAGACUAUAUAUAGUUUGAAGGGAGUAGCGAAGAUGAUUGCAUUGUGUGCUGGUAAUCUGAAAGAUUUUGGAUUUGAAUUCAACAUACCCUAUAUGUAGAUAUCUAAAUAUAGUAUUUUCGACUAAAAAAAUACUAAUUUGUUAAACCAAACAAACUAGGUAGAGAGGGGAUAUGAUUUGGAGUUGUGGACCAGUUGAGUGAUGAGUGGAAUCGCCAAUUAGAAGCUAACAAAUCUUUGUUUGAAUACCACACAGCGGCACUUUAAUAUAGUAUAAUUAUAAUUAGUGAAUGAAUACAUACAAAUAUAAUAAAGAAGUUGCUGUUGGGAGCUAAUUAAUUAUACAAAGAUGGAUGCACUAGUUAAAGUUUAUACGUAAUGGGGGGGAUAAGGCACAACUCCAAUAUUAACCCUUGCCACGUAUACUUUCCCGUCUCACAUAUUGUACUAUAAUGCUCUUCCAUCAAUUUUAUAUAAAUGUUUAUGUCUUCAUCGUUGUUCAUUGAAAUAAUUUUCUUUUAUUUUUAAUUAUGAAGCCGAGUUGCUUUGAGUAGACAAUAAUAUGACGUCGGGCUUUUUAGUUGUUUGAGAUUGGUCUAGGCUCUCGUCUGGUUCAACAAUUGUCAUGAGUUCCUCGCAAUAAAGGGCGAUGUGAUGCGGUGAGUUUAGACGGUGAUGUAAGAGGUUUGAUUAAGAUGCAACGAUUCUCCACAUAUAUUACCUGAAAGUCGGUACAUACCAACCAACCAAUUGGUAGAAAUGGCCCCUUAUUGAGCAAUGGCCUAUGUGCAUUCUGUAAUUUCCCUUUUGCGCAAAGGGAUAUGUACCAAUCAGUCCUCUGGCACACGUUGAAACCUGCUGAUAGAUGACAUGAAGUGAUACAUAUUGCAAUUAUCAUUUUAAGAAAAGUACAACUCCAAAGCUAGCUAGCUGCUCACAUGUUUUCUUCCAAAUUUGGGAUUGGUGGUGGGGUUAGCUGCCAGCCAAGUUACUUGCCGGUGAGUAGUUUGUUUAAGACAUGUUUGCGUGAUUGACGUCCAAAUCUAUAAAGACAAGUGUUUAUAUAAUAAUACUAAUCACAAACCAAAACCAGCUUUCUUUUCCUUUUAUGUAUAAUGGUGCUUUGCCCCCUCUACUUUACCAAGUUAACAAAUAAGCCCUUCUACUUUGGCCAACUUGAUAGUCAACCCCUUCCGUUAACAUUUCCGUCCAAUUACAGUUGAGUAAUGCUGCGUAACCAAGCCACAUAAUCAAUUUAGGCCAAGUGGACGCUGACUCGUUGAAUAAUAUUAUGCUUUUAUUUUGUUAUUUAUUUGCUUAUUUUAUUUUGGACUCUUCCUCUGGUUACUCUCUUUCUCUUGCCAAUACAGCUCGGCAAUGGUGGUCGUAAGGGAGGUUAUGAAUUUGAGAAUUUGAAAUAAAUAACUUGUUUUAAGUCGGAGAUAGACGGGCGAACAUGCCCUUACAACCGAGAAGGAAAUUAUAAAUAUUACAUAUGUGUCCAUUUUUUAGGGUAUGUUGGAUUUGAAAUCAGCACCUUUAGGUCACCAAUAUACAACUCUACCACUAGAGCAACUCCAUUUGAACUGAUAUUUAAUUGAAAAUGAUAAAAUAAAAAAAUCCAACCAUCGACCACUUGCCAUAUGAGGCUGACGUGUUGUGUUGAUUUGGCACGAUUUAACGGAAUGUUGACAGCAAUCGUAACGAAAAGACACAUUUGGAAAGUUGAUAAAAUAAGAGGGGGAUGAAAAGAAUUUUUAUUAGCGUAGAGAUUUAGUUAUUAUUUUGGUAAAGUAAAGAGAGCAAAACUACUAUUAUCCGUUUUAAAUUAUGCAAUUAUGUAUGUUCUCUUGUUUGAUUCUGAUUUGUAACUUUCUUAAUUCUAUUUUUUUCCAAGGAGAGAUCUUCCCAAAUCUUACUAACUACAAGAGAGAGAGAGAGAGUCUUGCUUUUGGUUUUAACUUUUAAUUAAUUAGCUUUGAUUUUGAACCAAUAAACCAACACCCACUUGAUCAUCAUCAUCAUCACUAAUUAAUUAGAUUGAUAUAAUUAAUAAAAUGUAAUGUUGUGGUGUUAAUACCCAUAAGGCAUAAGCUCCUCCUACUUAAAGUCUUGAUCACAACCCAAAGCAAGACCCACCACUGUCUCUCUCUUCCUUUAAGUUUAUUAAUUAGUAACCCCUUUUAGGCAUUGUUUGACAAACCCUUCCAACCUUUUGAAUUACAGGCCUAUUAGGAUCAAGAUCCUUCCUUUUCACAUAUUGAUUUUGAAAAUGCUUUUUCAUGGUAAUGACAAUCGAGAGAUUAAAUUAUUAUCGAGUUUUGAGAUUGGCCGUCUUUGUCUUAGUCCUUCCGAUAAAGGUGACAUAUACAUAAUGACGUGAAAGUAUGAGUAGAAGAAAUGUAGAAUAAUUGGACAAAGAAUAUAUAUACGUAUUAAGGAAAAUGUUUGCUCUGUAAUAUUUAUUUAUAUCUGAUCCAUUGAGUUGAGGUUGUCUAUUAAGAUGAAGCCACAUAUGAUUUUGAGCAAUGAACUAGCUAAGAUGAGUUAGACUUGUUAUCUUCAUUGACCAGCUCAAUGUUGGGCGACCCACAAGCAUCCAAUAGGAUUUUAAUUAGCAGUUAACCCUUGAGCAGUAAAUCAAGCGCGGUUAACUCUUACCUGGGUGUUUUCCGAGUGGGCCCACUAACGUAUAUGUGCUAUAUAUUUUGUUUAUGAAAAAAAUCAAAAUUUUAAAUUUGGAAAGUGGGCCCACUAACGUAUAUGUGCUAUAUAUUUUGUUUAUGAAAAAAAUCAAAAUUUUAAAUUUGGAAAGUGAAGGUAUAGCUAGUUAGCUACACAAUCACUAGAGUAUAUAUGAUGUACAUCUGAACUAAUUUUAAGCAUCUUUACAAUCUCUUGGAACUCAACUACAUGUAGGAAUCAUCUGUAGGUAGGUGAGGCUUUACCUUAACAUGGGCGGCUUAUUAUUAUUAUUAUUAUUAUUAUUAUUAUUAUUAUUAUUAUUAUUAUUAUUAUUAUUAUUAUUAUUAUUAUUAUUAUUAUUAUUAUUAUUAUUAUUAUUAUUAUUAUUAUUAUUAUUAUUAUUAUUAUUAUUAUUAUUAUUAUUAUUAUUAUUAUUAUUAUUAUUAGCAAUGUUAAUUAGCUAGGGUUGGUUUGGGAAAUACUAAUAAUAUAAUAGUAAUAAUGCAGUUAGAUUUAGGACAGAGAUUAGGAUCUCCACUAUCUAUUAGUGUAGGAAUAAAAAUUAAGAUUAGAACACAAAACUUAAUGUUAACGUAUGUAUGUGGAUUCAUACACUUGAAACCUAACCUAACCCCUACGUUUGCUUUUUGCUCUGCUGAAGGAUCCAAUCAUCUGGAUGCCUUUGCCACUUCCCUUUCUCGCACCUGGGAGUGGGAAGCUAGCUUGGUUUGGUUGACAAUGUUGAAAAAAAGGCGUACAACUUUAAACUAUCAGAAAUCUAAUUUAUUUAAUCAUAUUCGCAGAUAGAACGGGAGGAUGAGGAAGGAGCUGACGAAUGGUGAAAGGAUGGAAGAGAGGAGGCCGGAGAUAGAAAGAAGAACGAAGAGGGAAGGGAUUCCUGUUAAAAAAUUUAGUUUGAAUGAAAAUAUUUAUCAACGUGUGCUUAAUGAACCUUGAAUAAUACAGUCAGCAGACGUCGUCCAUCCACGAAGUCGAGGAAUUGGACGGAAACACAUCACGUGUCAAAUAAGUUAGUUUCCUAAUAAUUUGUAACUAUUUUUGUAAUUUCUAAAAUAUCGUAUACGAAUAUGUAAUUUUAAAAACAUUCGUGAAUGGCAAUUAAAGCUAUUCUCUUUUCUCUAUAGACCACAUGAAUGAAUGGAUGGCUAAACACGUGGUGUGGUUAUAUUGGCUUUGAUGAUUUAUUUAUUUAUUUUGCAUUCACUUUGAUAACAAUAUUAGAAUUGGAUUGAAUUGUUCUUUUAUAUCUUACAAAUUGUAGACAUUUUAUUAGAAUGAUUUUGGUUCAUUAAAAAAGACUUUUUUUAUCUGAUUAUUCAACCAAUUAAACCACUAACCAAUCUUUUAAAUCGGACGGUUCAUGAUUGACUUAAUUUAAAGUGAGAAACAAUAAAUUAUUAUUAGUGUAUGAUUUAUGAAUAUAAAUCAUGAGCUGAAGAAUAAUGAAUGUUAAAUGAGUAUAUAUAUAUGCUCAUCAUGUACUCUUGUUUUUUUAUAUAAGAAACCACCUAAUUGGUAAAGAAAAACGAGUGAAUGAGUAAGCUUUUGUCGAUUAAAAAUCAACACUAACAAGAUGAAAUAUCAAAAGAGUGGAUUGAAGAUGCAUAUACAUUGGUGGAUAUGAGUAGACAAGACAAUGUGUGUAUGAAAGGUGAAAGCAUGUGAAUGUGCACCCAAUUGGAAUCCUAAUACAUAUAUGUGUUGGAUUGGGGUUUUGUUUCUCUAGCUAGCUACUUGGUAGGGUUCCACCUCCCACAACUGGGGUAACAUUAUUAUCUAUAUAUUAUAUGGUGCCAACACUAUAUAUGUAUUAGGAUUAAUUGGUAUUUUGGACCCACCCUACUCCAAAUUAACUACUCUUUGUUUUUCUUGAUCAACUUGAAAAAUAGUUGUGUCCCAUGAAGAAGCUAGCUAAGUAGCUUCAUUGGACCUUAUGAACAAAGGGAUUUGCUCUUUCAUGGAGUCGUUAAGUCAAUUUAUAUAUAUAUUUUUUAAGAAUCUAUAUAUAUUAUGACACUCAUAUUUUAUAUAUUAUUCAAUAUAUUCUUUGUCAACUUGUAAUGAAAUUUUUUACAUCACUUUUGCUUUUUAAUAUUCUGACUUUUGUUCAUAACUUGCUUCAUUAGUUAAAUUAAUUUUAGAGAAUAAGGCUGAGUGGCAGAACCAUGAUUGAAACAUACAAGUUGUUUAGGUAGAGUUAGAAUUAUGAAGUCCUUUUUCUUUUGCCUCAGGAAGUGACAAGAACUUAAAGUGGUGGGGGGGUUGGGUCCAGAGAGGGGUCUUGUAAGUCCAAGAACUAGCGCUAGCUACUUGAUGUUUCGGGCACACCUACUUACUUACUUAAUCAUGGAUGUUCAUGUGUGUGUGUUGCCGACAUUAAUUAUCGUCUUAAGAUCACCAGAAUCUCCAACAUGGCCCACAAACAAGCAAACAAUCAAGCUAAGCUACUUUGUUAAAUAUCCAACCAAUCACAACAAAUCAUCAUCUGUUUGAAUUUCAAGACAUGAUGAGAUGAUCCCACCUCUCAUGUUCUCUCAUUAUUUUUAGGUUUUUUUUUGCUUUUUGGAAGGAUCCAUCCAAAACCCCCAUUUCCAUCAAAACCAUGAAUGAAUUAUUCAAAGUUGGCCUCUCUCUGAUGUGACUUUUUAUUAGACUUGGGUUUUUCCAAAGUUGGGAAAUCCCUUUUCAUUGAUAUGUUCAACGGGAUUGUCCUCCCUUUAAUUUUUUGUUUUGUUUUAUUUAAACGUUAAUUGUGGGUAUAUGACCAAGUAUUACACUACCUACUACUUUACUAUAUGCUAAUUAAUUAAUUGUAAUUAACUAUCAAAUAAUGACUAAUGACAAUAUGUUCAGUGGAUCUAGCUACUUAACUUUAUAUAUAAGUCAUGUGAAGUGGAACUGUGUAAUGUUUAUAUAUAUAAUACCACCCUUGCCAUCUCUACUAUGAGUUAAUUAAGAACGUGCAUGUACAGUUCGACAAUAAAGUGAAUGUUUGUUGAAUGGAUUAGUCAUAUGAAUGUUGUUGUUGCAGACUUGCAGGCUUUUCUGUCUUGUUUUCUUGUCCAUCUCAGUUUCUUACACGUGACCAAGAAAUAAUCAGGUACAAAUGAAAUUUUGCAUUCCUUUAAUGGACCGUAAAGAACAAACCUUGCUUACAGCAUAUGGUAGGAAAUGAUACAUUGCAUUUGCAUGGUAAUAUGCUAACUCUGUUUACAGCAAUAUAAAGACCAGAAACCCUGGAAUCAUACAUACAAAAGAUACCCUUAUAAACCCUGAACCUUCCUUGACAUCAAAGUUAUAAAAAUUCAAUUAUCAAGCAAAGUGGAGAAACCAAAAAAAUAAAUAAUAAUAAUGAUGAUGAUGAAGAAGAAGAAGAAGAAGAAAGAGAUGAAAAUUUUGAACCAGAAGGAGACAAGAGGGGCAAGCAUUUACGAACAGUACAGGAGAGAGCUGAAAGCUCAUGAAGCAAGCAUGGCCAUUCCAUUCAGUUCACUACCAACAACAAAAAGACACCACCUAUGAUUUGUGGUCAUGGCUUCUUGUCACUUUUGAGAUUCAAGUUGAACCAUUUCUUUUUAGAUGCUUUAUCUUUCCCGUCAGACCCAACUUCUUCCAUUCCUGGACUUCCACAUCUUGAUUCAUCCCCAACAACUUUGCUUGAACUUCCACCACAUCUUGAUUCAUCCCCAACACCUUUGCUUGAACUUCCAUUACUUAUGUUACUAACACUCCUGUUUACUGUAAAUGACGAGUGAAUACUAUCCCGCUGUUUCAGCAGCUCAUCAACCUGCCAACCACAUCACAAUUCUCAAUCAGUACUGUAACAUGAUCAACACAACGUCGUUACAGAAUCUGAAGAAACGAACAAUCUCUCAGUCAGGUUCUCGUUCCCAUCUUCAGAUGAAGUUGGCUCACUAGCUAUACUUUUCCUAUAUAGUAGCAAAAAUAUGCAUAUUUUGAAAGAAGUGCGCAAUAGAACAUCCAUAUAUAGUGAAGUGAAACAUACAGCUUGCUUUUCUUGGGUGUAUUUGUUGGUUACUUCCUGAAAGCGUGCCAAAGCCUACAUAAAGAUAUUCGUGAGACACAGGACAACGUGCAAUCAAAUUUGGAGAUGAGACGGCCAACACCCAGAAAUAGAAAUAGAUAUAUAAAGGCAUGGAUGGAUGAAUGUACCUUCCUAUAUUCAGUCUCAAACUGACGUAGGUCAUUUCUUUUUCUUAAAAUUUGGGCCUCUAUAUCCUUUAGCCUUUCUGUUGUUUCCUCGUAUGACUUUGCACACAGUGCUUCAAUCGUAUAUGUAGCUGUCUUGAAAAAAUUAUCACCUGAAACAUUCCAGUAAGAAUAUCAGAUCAGUAAUCAAAUAGUUUUAAGGUCUAAAUUAAAGACUGAGAGAUCAGAUAAAAGGUUGUCCGGACCAUAAACAGCAAAUAUGUGAGUGCCCGCUUUGAGUUCCGAGACAUCACAAGGUUGAAGACCUUCCAAUCUCUUGAAAAAAGCAGCAUCAGGAUCCUUAGCGAUAGCUAACUGUGUAACGUUAAAUAAUUAAUGUUAAUACCGCAAUUCAAUAACAAAAUAAUACUAAAAUGUCAAUAAAAAAGAAAAGGAGAGUAAUUUCAAGCUCCAUACAGCGUUGAGAGUUGAAUCCAUUCUGUAAACUUGAAAAUGCAAGAAAUACAUUCCAGCAGAUGUCACCUUCCCUGCUUUCUCACUAUCUUCCUGCACAGGCAAAAAACAAUGGUUUCGGUAUUCACCAUGCAUUACAACAAAAGCCAGAUAGAACAUCUUAGCUAUACAAAGCUUUCAGUGAAUCAUGCACAUGUCCAGCUGAAGAAGCAAAAACUGGUUACUAAGAAUGUUGACAGAACAGAAGACUGAAAGCAAAGCAGAGCAUUCAAGGGCCAAAUCAAAAUAUACCUCAAAGAACAUUGCAUGAGUCGCCUAUAUUUCUAAAGCAGUUACAAUGUGAUACAAAUAGAUAGUUUCUAAACGAAAAAGCAACUGUUGGAUCGAAGAAUAGUAGAUUUGAGCGCCCACACUGCCUGAGCGAAUUUCCACACUUAACUAGAAAACAUAUUCUACAUUUCUACAAAUUCGAGUUUCACGGGUACCAGAAAUAUCCCACAUGUCGCCGCAGAAAAUAAUGUUUGAAUUGUCAGACUUGAAUUGGAUCACUAUGUGGGUAUAGUCUGCGUUAAUGAGAUUACUUCAAUAUGGUAGAUUUUCCAAUAUUUUUUAUAUUAAUCAUCAUUGCCAAGUACAUAAACAGGAAGAAAACAACUGAAAACCAUACGGUGCAUCAAAUUAGACAAAAAAUCUAACAGUUUAUCCCUAAAGGUCAACGUGAAAGUAUAAGGAAGAGAACAACUAAGAUAUGAAGAGUUUAAUUUACACGUAAAUAAGAUAUGAGCAUCACAGUUCCCAACUUGUUAAACAAGACAAGUUAUAGGCAGAAGACCAUGUAAUGUUAAGAAUUAUAGUAUCGCCACCAAUGAUAAAGAACAAAGCUAUGAAUGGUACCUGUCCCGCCAGACCGUAUCCACCAUUCACGUCUUGUUCAAAAUAAAGCAACUGAACAUUUUAAAAGAAAGAAGUCAAUCCUCGACAAUUAACAGUUUUGCAACCCUGAUACGCUCUCUGUAUAAAGAAAAGAAGUUUCUUUGCAGUUAAGACAACCUUGAAUUUGCUCUGUGCGGUAGAGGUAACCCUCACAACAAUCCCAGCCUCCGCUUGUUGCUCGUUUAUUGUCACACCAAAGAAGUGUGCAGAUUGCUUGUCCACCUGAAAUCAUCCAUUAAUAAUACUCAACACCUUGUCAAACAGAAAUUAAUAAUACCCAACAAAGGAAGUACACGAGAAAGGACAAGAUCCAGCAAAAGAAGAAACAUCCGACAGAAAACAUCAGCAUGAGCUAAUCUUCUUCUCUUUGUGAUAAGAAAGUGCUCUUAGUUCAGUUUGGUAGAGCAGUACCUUUCCACUGACUGAUGUCCCCAUUGGAAGGGGUCUGAUUGUAACAGUUCCAUUCAAAGCUUCUUCAAGUACAUUAGCAGAUAUCGUCGUCUUAAUAGGAACGCCGAGCUUGCUAGAAUAGUUUAAAUAGUUUCAGAAAGUUUUAAAUCAAACUUGGAGUUGAAAUCGGCCGGAAUGACUACACAACAUUCACCUGAAUAAUGCAGCAAACACUGUAUUUACUGUUCCAAGGUUUGACAAAUCAAUUUCCAUAUCCAUACUUUCAGCAUCCAGAGCCUGAUUAAGGAUUAUAAGAAAAAACUCACUUAUUAAAUAUUUCCAGAACUUUUAUGAACUUAUCUCUAUUGCACAAAUAUGAUGAAUACACCACAUAUUAUUAGAAGCGAAAAACGAAGAUAACAUUCAAACCAAUAAAAGUUGCCAAAGAACCAAAUGAUAGAGAAAUAAUCUCUGAUCUCUAUCACCAACAUGCAGAUAGUAGAAUGGAAAUUAGAAAAAGUUCGCAACAUAGCCCCUUCACUAUUAUUUCUUCACGUGAUAAAUUCCUUCACGGGCAAAUCAUAAUAGGAAUAGCGAGUCGCUAAAUUUUCCCUUACAACCGUGGAAGCGUUCUGUCCAUUUCCAGUUACAAAAUUAUGGAUAGAAAAGACUUCACCCCUUCACUCAUCCUUCCUCUUCCUCCCUUUAUUAUAUCUAAUCACUGAAGAUAGGAUGGCGAGUAGCAGGGGUAUGAAUAUCUACUUCAAGAAUAUUAGGAGAUGUGCCAUUAUAAAAUUAUGUUGUGCACAAUUAGAGUGACGGCAAAGUAGGAAACACUAUCACGAAAUAUUCGCACCCACGACACAUAAUUGAAACUCCCCAUUGACAAUUAAGUAGCCAGAGCUUUUAUGGUUCCAAAAUUAUUCUUCAUUUGAGUUUAUGAUAGUCUAUUAGAGAAGAGUGGGACUUGAAUAGGAAUUAUUUUGGAGUAGGAAUAGUAUUUCUUUUUAGUUAUUAUUAGUUGUUUCCUACUAGUAAUUGUUUUCAUUUUUCUUGUAGUAUUAGUCUCAUGGUUUUUAUCUACAUAUAGAGUUGUGGCGCCAUGUUUAUCUGACCUCUCUCUAUCACCGGCUAUUGUAGCGGUCCUUCCUCCAUCUUACUUAUUAAAAACCCUAAUUUUCCAUUCUCCAAAUACUAGCAGCAUACUUCCCUUCAGUAUUUUACCCACCCUCACCCACAUCAUGACUUCAGCAAGCGAAGGUAUAAGUGAGGCUUUGGAAGUUAGGUCAUGAAGCUUAAAUAUCCAAAUUGUCUUUGCAGAAAUGAGACUCCGCAUCCAAGUACUCUGGUACUACAUGAUCGACUCAAACAAAUGUAGCCUAAACGAACUUCAAGAUAACCCAACAAAAGAAAGCAUUGAAAAAUUAUGCCACAAACCUAAGAUCUCCUAUAUUGUCCUUGGAAAGAAAGAGAGGGGUUGAGUAGCAUAAUGCAAAAUGGACAUGGACCAGUCAUAAACAAUCAUCGAUCGAAAGAUCACCUCAAAUCCUGCACUGUCAUACUGUCUCCUCUUCUCUGGGUCAGAUAAAAUACUAUAGGAAUAUGCAACCUCUUUGAACAGUUCUGAAGCUUCCGGAUUAUUGGCAUUCUUGUCCGGAUGAUAC